ACCACUAACCGCCGAACCACGGGAGGCCAAGGUGUGCGCGCGCCAGGAUAAUAUAUGUAUCUACGUGCGUUAACCACGUGAGAGCGGCCAGCAUCUUUCCACGGGGCCUCUCUGGUGGGGACUUAACCUAUGGACUGCUCUUUGUCUCCGUCUUUCUCUCGCAUAAACCUUGAAUCCUCGGGAAAUCGCUGGAACUUUAAUAUAUCAGUGAAUUUCAAUGCAACCGCUGCGCUGCGCCAGUUACAUGAUUUUCUUCUGUUUGAUAAAUUUUUUUAAUCGAUCAACGUUCGAUGUUUUGCUAAUUACAUUGUCCGGAGAGGAACAAUGCGCUAACGGAAAUAAAGGACAACGGUGUCCACAAAUUAUAGCCUUGUUUCAAUCUGUUCGAUCUAUAAACGGAGAUCUGUUUUUUUUCGCAGCAAGACCCAACCGUGACGAUGUCGUAGACAUACAUAUUUGUUUCGGCAUAGUACGUUUCCUCGCACAGUUAGCAUCUCUUUUUAUCUUCAUCAUUGCACUGUCAUUUACUUGGCAUGGUAGUUAGCGUCGGUGUCUUGUUUGCCAAGGUAGGCGCUUACUUUUUUAUUCGCCACCCCGUAGACGGCGAGUUCUCACUCAACAUUCCCGGCAAUCUCUGAUCGACGAGUUUUUAUGAAGGUCGUACGAACUACGUGAGCCUACCCACUUACCCAGCUGCAUCGCUAAUGUACAUGUUUAUGCUAUUUGUGGCCGUUUCAGAUGCGCGAAAAAUGCAUGCACAUUAUGCGCAAGUUAUAUGUAACAUAAAACAACAAUAACUUAAAGGCGUUAAUGAUUUUAUCAAUUUCUUACGGUAUCGAUGUGUUCGCAAUUUUCGUCUAGGAUAUGCAGAGGAUAGAUUUUAAACCUGCGAAGGAAAGCGAAAUUUCACGCAAAAUAGAGAAAAUUGAACAAGACAUAGUUCGUGCAACCCUCUCAUAAUGAUUGUCAGUGAUCCAUAAGUUCUUUUAGCACUACAGAAAUCUUUAAACGAGUUCUCCAUACAGGAAUUCUGUGAAUUCUUCGUGAAACAUCAAUUUCCAUAACAAUUGCGCGAGACAUUGAUUAAUCUAUAGAAGAGGAUCAAUUGGAUGGUCAUAUUUCUUCCAUGGAAAGUGUUUUAUAAACACAGAAAACAUAGAAACUGUUUUAUCCUCUUGCAUAUAGUACCAGCCUGCAGUCAUCGUGAGACUUUAUUUCGCAAUUGGUGUUCAGUAUUCCGAAUUCUCAUUUGCAACUUCGAAGAUUAAGAUGGCGGCAGACUACGGUAAUUUAUUAACUA
rnacentral:misc_RNA from 1 species